UACGUAGGGUGCGAGCGUUAAUCGGAAUUACUGGGCGUAAAGCGUGCGCAGGCGGUGAUGUAAGACAGUUGUGAAAGCCCCGGGCUCAACCUGGGAAUUGCAUUCGAGACUGCGUGGCUAGGGUGCGGAAGAGGGAAGCGGAAUUUCCGGUGUAGCGGUGAAAUGCGCAGAUAUCGGGAAGAACACCUAUGGCGAAGGCAGCUCUCUGGGACGGUACUGACGCUGAGACGCGAAAGCGUGGGGAGCGAACAGG
rnacentral:rRNA from 1 species